CUGAGGCACGGGGCUGGGCCUGAGCGGUGUUAUAGCCCCGGCUCUGCCUCAGGGACGGACAGGGCCUGAGCGGUGGUACAGCCCCGGCACUGCCUCAGGUACGGACGGCGAUGCCCGAAAAGGCUGGCUGGAAGUAAAACCCCAUAGACUGGUGUCUACAGAGCAGCUGGAUUGAAGGCCAGGGGAAUGCCCUGGAGCAGGGAAACCUCCCUCACCUGAGCCAUACCCAAGGGCACCCCUUCCUCACACCAGGUCCUUUAGAUCUUUCUUAUCCUUUCCACAUGAAAAUGCAGUCAGUG